CCCAAUGAAAAAUUUUAAAUGGCUGCAGUAUAAAUAACUGUACUAAGGUAGCAUAAUAAUUUGUUUUCUAAUUAAAAACUAGAAUAAAAGAUUUAAUGAAAUAUAUACUUUAUAAAUUAAAUAAAUUAAAUUUUUUAUUUAAGUAAAAAAACUUAAAUAAAAUUAAAAGACGAUAAGACCCUAUAAAAUUUUAUUAAUUUAAAUAUAAUUUUAAUUAAUUUUCUUAAUUUUUAAAUUUAAAUUAAUUUAAUUGGGGUAAUUUAAAAAUUAAAAAAAUUUUUUUAUUAAAAUACAUUUAUUAAUGAAAAAAUAAUCUUUUUUUUAAAAUAUUUUAAAAUUAAUUACUUUAGGGAUAACAGCAUAA
rnacentral:rRNA from 1 species